rnacentral:rRNA from 1 species
GUUACAGCAGCCGCGGUAAGACGAACCGUCCAAACGUUAUUCGGAAUUACUGGGCUUAAAGGGUGCGUAGGCGGCGCGGUAAGUUGGGUGUGAAAUCCCUCGGCUCAACCGAGGAAUUGCGCUCGAUACUGCCGUGCUUGAGGGAGACAGAGGUGAGCGGAACUUAGGGUGGAGCGGUGAAAUGCGUUGAUAUCCUAAGGAACACCAGUGGCGAAAGCGGCUCACUGGGUCUCUUCUGACGCUGAGGCACGAAAGCUAGGGGAGCGAACGGGAUUAGAAACCCUGGUAGUCC